GCUGGGGGAAGUGGGUUGGGUUGGGUUGGACAAAAGUACCUUUUCCAAGUACGUAGCAUCCAAGGUGAGAGUAAAGUUGCUGAGGGAAUAGGAGGAGGAGGAGAACAUUGAUCAGAGUGUUGACCUGAGCUGGGGCUGAAGGAAGGGCUCACAUUGAAGAAGGGAGCAGAGUUGUAUCAGAAAAUCCAGGUCAAAGGGUUCUCCUUCUGCACCUAGGUAAGACAGCAGCUUUCCAGAGGACUGACGGUUUUAUUGGGACCUUCUUUCCACCAUGUCAUAUGUAUGCGCAGCCCUCACAAGACCACUUUGCUUGGAAUAUGUUCUGUGUCCUGUCCUAUAGGACUUAGCUCCCUUAGCUUUGUUUGUUUGCCAAUAACAAAUACAAUGCCUAGCAUAUAGAAGAGGUAAAAAUUUAACAGCAGCAACAAUUUAUAAUUAUAGAAGUCUGUAACAUUAAUUAAGCGAAUAUAUGUAUGCAGUAAAUAACCUUCAUUGGAUUUUUAUGUUCUGGCCACUUUUCUGAUUCAUUGCACGAACUGAGCCUCUGAUAACUGAAUUUGUGUGUGUCGGGGGGUUGGGGAGCUGGGGACAGAACCAAACCCCCAAUACACACAUAUCAGGCAAGUGCUUUCCCACUGAACUACAUCCUGGCCUGCUACUGUAAACACUUUUGUUCAAUGUUGGUUGGUUGGAUUUUGCCAGCAUGUGAGGGUUGUAAUCAUUUAGGAAAUCUCUGAUGGUGCAAGCCCUUUCUGAAUGUGAUCU
rnacentral:lncRNA from 1 species